GUUUACUGGAAAAAAAAUACAAUGAAUCACUUUCUUUGCUGUUCAAGAUUAUUGGUGCGAGAAGACUUCUACCGUUUUCUUAGUGAGUGUCACAGUUCGUACGUCUCAUACAGCAUCAUUUACCAGGAUUUAGCAUCCAUAGUUUAAAUGCAUAUUUCCAUACUCUACACAUUUGUAACAAUGGCCUACAUUACAAUCCAGGGUCAGUAACAGAUCGUUUUUUGAAAGGCAGGGUAGCAUUGUGCAACAGUUAUUAUAGUGAUCACUAUACAUAUUUCACAAGCCUUGUUUCUGCCGGCAAUCACACUGAAGUCAGAAAACAUUGAGAUUUACAUGUGGAUUGCGGAUACUAAUAGGUGACAAAUGUGUCCUUAAAUGUUACAUUCCAUAUGGAAUUUCGAGAUAUCGUAAAAAAUAUUCACAUACACUGUAAACAAAUAUUUCAGGCACAAUGUACAUGUGUAAAUGUAACAUUGCCUGUACGGGCCAUCAAAUGAGAGGAGGUGUUUGCAGUGUUCGUUCUGUUCACGUACAAACACUAACAAAAGUAUUUACUAAAGUGAGAAUUUAAAGUGUAUUCAAUAUACAAGUCCGGAGUAGUCUUAAUCACAGCAUACCUGACUUUGCAAAUUUCUUCCAUUUUGGCUAUUUUGAUCUUAAAUUUGAAAAUCACUUUUCUCAUUUUAGUGAAUAACCCUGUUUGAAAUAAAUAUUUGGGAGUACUGGUUAUUUGCAGACAUGUACCACACCAAGGCAGAAUAUAUAUGUUUAAACCCUCACUUGAAGUGAAUUGUUUUGUUUUUUUUGUGUGUAUAUCACUCUGUAUUGCCCCAAUAUCCUUUUGUUAGGCAAAUUACACACACUCACACGCAUUCAUAUACACAUACUCACACACAUUCAUAUGCACACAUCGCAUUAUCCCUGGUGUCCAGUGGUUUUCUGCUGGGAUCUGUGCUCCAGCAAAAAAGGGAGUGAUCCGCACUCAUCACCUGUAGACCUCAGUGCACUGUUGCUUGAUAAAGAUCCCUAAAGGGAUCAAAACAUUGCUGUAUCUGUCCUGUUUUUCCCCAAUAAAUCUGCUGAUGUAUGAAGACCUUGAGUGCCUGGACUACUUUGCUACAGGGAUCCCAGUUAGAAUGCCACAUUUUGGAACAAUUGUGAUCACAUAAACUCAAGUGUUUAACCUGAUGUAUAUCAAACAUUUUCACCAAUCCAAUAAUAGUAUAGUAUGGGAAGGGUAAAAACAUUUUCAGUUGUAUGUGGAUUCAGAAUACACAUGGCUUCCAAAGAAUACAAGAACAAAUGAAAUGGGUUAUACAGGACAUUUACUCACAGAACCUUACUUAUUAUUAUUCAUAGGGUCUUAUACCUUAUCAUUCCUUCAGUUAAAUCAAAAGAAUACAGGAAAGAAUUAAUUGUGCUAUACUUACAGUAUAUAACUUAUUAAAAGGGUCUCACGUCAUUCUUCUGUUAAUCUGACAAC